GGUGACGGGACGAGGGAUCCUAAGGAGAAGGCGCGCCCUGCCUAAUCUUUGGCAGUCUCCCACCCGGUCCCCUCGAACAGACCCCGCUCAGCUGUUCCCGCUUGUCUCGACUGGGCGGGUGAGGACCUGGUUCCCACAUCGGAUUCCGGGUACCUGCACCGAAAACAGAUUUUAUCAAGGCAUCUGACAAUGACUUUCAACCAUAUUCUGUAGAGGAAAACAAAUGGAGAAAUGUGUGUCUGUGAAACGGCAACUAAGGAGACUAGCAAAUGGUGGGACAAAUGAUCAAAGACUCAAUUUAAUGAAGACUGAUCCAUUAGGAGAUUCCUGCUGGUGGAUUCUGAGCCAACAAAUGAAGACUGGCCUUCAUGUCACAAAAACUCACGAUAGUUGCCUUAAAUGUUAGGUAGAACCAAUGAGAACACUAUUUCUGGAUGUCAAAAAUGUCCACAUACUCAACCUAAUAGGUGCAUGGUUGUCUCACAAUGACACCCUCUCUUCUAAAUCUCUGGAUAAUGAAUGCUAAUGUCUCACUGAUACACUGACAAAUCCUCACUCCACUGUGCAAAUGACCCCCAACAUUCUAGAUCCACGUUCCAUUACUGCCCCACGUAUAUCCAACAUUCCAGCCAAAGUGGACCGCUCACUAUUCUCCAAACAUACCCCAACUUUCUCGUCUCUGCCUUUGGGCUACAGCUUCUAAAAUCCCUUCCUUCUGUCCCGUCCCGUAGCCCUCCUUUGUAUGGUGUACCAGGAUGGAAAUCUGCUCGCAAUAUACUCCCAGGAAAGACAACAAGAUGACAAACAAGGCCAUUCUAGAGGAACCAGACCAGGUGUGGCAGGAUGAGGAGGACAAAAGUGAAAGAUUAUCCAACCAGAAGGUUCCUGAGAAGAAAGGAAAUAAAUGAAGCAGAAUGCUUUGGCAGAAAGAGCCUUUCCUCCAGGAAGCUUUCUUUGCUCUCCUCCUCUGGAUUGGACGCUUCUUUUACCUAAAGCAGUUGGACCUCAAACAGUGGAGCCAGAAGUCAUGGAAGUUUGUCCUGUGUUCUGUAAUGCAGUAUGGUGACAGAAAGGCAAAGGUCAUGACGGAAAGGAUAAACUCACAAAGACUCUGGCCAUUCAGCCAACAACCGUCAACCAGAAGGGCCUCCCCAGUGUUGAGCACCGUCCAACCUUUGGAUGUUUGCACGUUUGGAGAGAGGAACUCCAAUAGCGAGUAAGGUUUAAUUUCCUGCCUGUAAGUUGAUUGGAGAUUUUGAAUCAGAUCCAGUUUGAUUUAAAGGAAAUUAAGAAAUCGGAUCGGCUUUGCACACCUGGGUUUGUAUCCUGAGCUCCAUUCCCACUGCAACAGGCAGUUUAUCCUGAGGAAGUUUGAACCCGAAGAUGAAUCUGUGCAUGUGGCCUUUGUAUCAAUAUCCACGCCCUGGUCUUCCCAGUAUCCAGUCAGCUCGGGCCUGUGCCCAGGCUACUCUGAGGGCCUGUUACCCAAUUAUCUCGUUAUAGGUUAAGAUGAACACAGCAGAGCAAUACACAAGAGAAGGUGUCCCCGAUCUUUCCCUUUUAAGACCUACCACCAUGCUGGGCUUCCCACAUGCGUCAGAGUACCACACAAUACAAUAUCUUGCCUGUUUGCACCGCUGUUGGAGAACUCAUUAACCUUAUUUUUGAGUCUUAACGCAUCUUUGCCAAAUGAUUCCUCUCUUCUCCUUCAGCCCAAACGGCAGGUUCUAUAUCUGACCCAUGCCCUGAGUCAGGUUGCUGCAUACAAAUGUUAAACAAAUGUGUUCAAAAUCAAAACCCCUAGAAGUUUCUGAGGCCUGUAAAAUCCUGCUCACAUCAAAGUACCUUCCCAGCUUUAUCUUACACCACCCACCCCACACACACCCACACCACACCACACUACAAGCUGGCCACACCCAGUCGCUUCCUAGCCUGAGCCCACCAGAUUCAUUUACACACUUACACUCAUUUACACUCUUUGUGCUUCUACACACAGGAUUCCUCCUUCCCACUGACCUCUCCCUUCACUGGAUAACACCAACUCAAACUUCAAGAUCCACCUCAGAGGUCACCAUGUCCCU